CUUGCACCUUUCAAGCGAGUGGCGAACGGGUGAGUAACACGUGGAUAACCUGCCUCAAGGCUGGGGAUAACAUUUGGAAACAGAUGCUAAUACCGAAUAAAACUUAGUAUCGCAUGAUAUAAAGUUAAAAGGCGCUACGGCGUCACCUAGAGAUGGAUCCGCGGUGCAUUAGUUAGUUGGUGGGGUAAAGGCUUACCAAGACAAUGAUGCAUAGCCCGAGUUGAGAGACUGAUCGGCCACAUUGGGACUGAGACACGGCCCAAACUCC
rnacentral:rRNA from 1 species